rnacentral:rRNA from 1 species
UACGUAGGGGGCAAGCGUUGUCCGGAAUCAUUGGGCGUAAAGAGCGUGUAGGCGGUCCGAUAAGUCGGUUGUGAAAGUCAAGGGCUCAACCCUUGAAUGCCGACCGAUACUGUCGGGCUAGAGUCCGGAAGAGGCGAGUGGAAUUCCUGGUGUAGCGGUGAAAUGCGCAGAUAUCAGGAGGAACACCAAUGGCGAAGGCAGCUCGCUGGGACGUUACUGACGCUGAGACGCGAAAGCGUGGGGAGCAAACAGG